rnacentral:rRNA from 1 species
AGUGUCGCAGGGAAACCGAUAAACACACCGCCUGGGGAGUACGACCGCAAGGUUAAAACUCAAAUGAAUUGACGGGGACCCGCACAAGUAGUGGAGCAUGUGGUUUAAUUCGAAGAUACGCGCAGAACCUUACCAACACUUGACAUGUUCGUCGCGACUCUAAGAAAUUAGAGUUUUCGGUUCGGCCGGACGAAACACAGGUGCUGCAUGGCUGUCGUCAGCUCGUGUCGUGAGAUGUUGGGUUAAGUCCCGCAACGAGCGCAACCCUCACUUUUAGUUGCCAUCAUUAAGUUGGGCACUCUGAAAGAACUGCCAGUGAUAAGCUGGAGGAAGGUGGGGAUGACGUCAAGUCCUCAUGGCCCUUACGUGUUGGGCUACACACGUGCUACAAUGGCAUCUACAACAGGAAGCAAAACGGCAACGUUAAGCAAAUCCCGAAAAGAUGCCUCAGUUCGGAUUGCACUCUGCAACUCGAGUGCAUGAAGCUGGAAUUACUAGUAAUCGUGGAUCAGCGUGCCACGGUGAAUGCGUUCCCGGGUCUUGUACACACCGCCCGUCACACCAUGGGAGUUGGUUCUACCUUAAGGCAAGGUUUUAAACCCUUGACCACGGUAUAGUCAGCGACUGGGGUGAAGUCGUAACAAGGUACC